rnacentral:rRNA from 1 species
AGGUGCGCUAAUACCGGAUGUGGAAGCCGCCCGCCUGGGCGGUUCUCUAAAGGCGCAAGCCGCUUCGGGAUGGGCCUGCGGCCUAUCAGCUUGUUGGUGGGGUAACGGCCUACCAAGGCGGCGACGGGUAGCUGGUCUGAGAGGAUGGUCAGCCAGACAGGGACUGAGACACGGCCCUGACUCCUUUGGGGGGCAGCAAUGAGGGAUAUUGCACAAUGGGGGCAACCCUGAUGCAGCGACGCCGCGUGGGUGACGAAGUCCUUCGGGAUGUAAAGCCCUUUUGCCGGGGAAGAGAACGGACGGUACCCGGCGAAUAAGCCCCGGCUAACUACGUGCCAGCAGCCGCGGUAAUACGUAGGGGGCGAGCGUUGUCCGGAUUUACUGGGCGUAAAGCGCGUGUAGGCGGCCGUUUAAGUCGGGUGUGAAAGCCCGGGGCUUAACCCCGGGAUGCCGCUCGAGACUGGAC